rnacentral:rRNA from 1 species
UGGGGGAUAUUGCACAAUGGGGGGAACCCUGAUGCAGCGACGCCGCGUGGGUGAAGGAGUAUUUCGGUAUGUAAAGCUCUAUCAGCAGGGAAGAAGAUGACGGUACCUGAGUAAGAAGCCCCGGCUAACUACGUGCCAGCAGCCGCGGUAAUACGUAGGGGGCAAGCGUUAUCCGGAUUUACUGGGUGUAAAGGGAGCGUAGACGGUGAGACAAGUCUGAAGUGAAAGCCCGGGGCUCAACCCCGGGACUGCUUUGGAAACUGCCUGACUGGAGUGCUGGAGAGGCAAGCGGAAUUCCUAGUGUAGCGGUGAAAUGCAUAGAUAUUAGGAAGAACACCAGUGGCGAAGGCGGCUUGCUGGACAGUAACUGACGUUGAGGCUCGAAAGCGUGGGGAGCAAACAGG